UACGGAGGGAGCUAGCGUUGUUCGGAAUUACUGGGCGUAAAGCGCACGUAGGCGGCUUUGUAAGUUAGAGGUGAAAGCCCGGAGCUCAACUCCGGAACUGCCUUUAAGACUGCAUCGCUAGAAUUGUGGAGAGGUAAGUGGAAUUCCGAGUGUAGAGGUGAAAUUCGUAGAUAUUCGGAAGAACACCAGUGGCGAAGGCGACUUACUGGACACAUAUUGACGCUGAGGUGCGAAAGCGUGGGGAGCAAACAGG
rnacentral:rRNA from 1 species